rnacentral:rRNA from 1 species
UUCGUAGGCGGUCUGUCGCGUCGGAAGUGAAAUCCCGGAGCUCAACUCCGGGCCUGCUUUCGAUACGGGCAGACUUGAGUGUUGCAGGGGAGACUGGAAUUCCUGGUGUAGCGGUGGAAUGCGCAGAUAUCAGGAAGAACACCGGUGGCGAAGGCGGGUCUCUGGGCAACAACUGACGCUGAGGAACGAAAGCGUGGGGAGCAAACAGGAUUAGAUACCCUGGUAGUCC